GUGAUUUGGAAUAGGAUAAGGCAAUCAAGAGAUUUUUGGUGAGGAACAUCGUUGAACAAGCUGCUGUUAGAGAUGUUCAGGAAGCUUAUGUCUAUGAUGGAUACACUUUGCCUAAAUUGUACGCCAAGAUGCUUUACUGUGUGUCCUGUGCUAUUCAUUCUCAUGUGGUGAGAGUUCGUUCUAGAGAGAAGAGGAGGAACCGUGACCCACCUCAACGUUUCAAGCGUCGGGAAGUGGUUAUUAAUAUUGUCGCACUUGGUGAUACAAAUUAGAAACAAUGGUAUCUACAGUCUCGGUCUCGG